rnacentral:rRNA from 1 species
AGAGUUUGAUCAUGGCUCAGAUUGAACGCUGGCGGCAUGGUUAAAACAUGCAAGUCGAACGAGAAACAGACUUCGGUCUGUGGACAGUGGCGAAAGGGCGAGUAAUGCGUUUCUAACGUGCCCAGAGGUCAGGGAUAGCCCAGGGAAACUUGGAAUAAUACCCGAAAUCGUAUGGUUUUGCGUGCAAAGGUUUACUGCCUCUGGAUCGGGAAACGUCCUAUCAGCUUGUUGGUGAGGUAAAGGCUCACCAAGGCUAAGACGGGUAGCGGGUGUGAGAGCACGGCCCGCCGCAUCGGGACUGAGACACUGCCCGGACUCCUACGGGAGGCUGCAGUAACGAAUAUUCCGCAAUGCGCGAAAGCGUGACGGAGCAAUGCCGCGUGAAGGAUGAAGCACCUCGGUGUGUAAACUUCUGUCAGGGUCUAGUAAGAAAGUGAACAGCACCAGAGGAAGGGCCGGCUAACUUCGUGCCAGCAGCCGCGGUAAUACGAAGGGCCCGAGCGUUAGGCGGAAUCACUGGGCUUAAAGCGUGCGCAGGCGGAUUGGCAAGCGUCUUGUGAAAACCCACGGCUCAACCGUGGAAUUGCAGGGCGAACUUCCAAUCUUGAGACAGGUAGGGGCCGUCGGAACGCACGGUGGAGCGGUGAAAUGCGUAGAUAUCUAGAGGAACGCCAAAGGCGAAGGCAGGCGGCUGGGCCGAUUCUGACGCUCAGGCACGAAAGCGUGGGGAGCGAACGGGAUUAGAUACCCCGGUAGUCCACGCCGUAAACGAUGUGCACUAGGUCGUGGGUGUUCUGACACACUCUCGAUCGAAGCAAAAGUGUUAAGUGCACCGCCUGGGGAGUACGGUCGCAAGGCUAAAACUCAAAGGAAUUGACGGGGGCUCACACAAGCGGUGGAGCAUGUGGCUUAAUUCGAAGCAACGCGAAGAACCUUAUCCUGGGUUUGACAUGUAUGGAUUAGCUUCCUGAAAGGGAAGUGACGAGUUUACUUGGAACAUACACAGGUGCUGCAUGGCUGUCGUCAGCUCGUGCUGUGAAGUGUCGGGUUAAGUCCCUUAACGAGCGAAACCCCUGCCGUUAGUUGCCAGCGAGUAAUGUCGGGGACUCUAGCGGGACUGCCGGUGUCAAACCGGAGGAAGGUGGGGAUGACGUCAAGUCCUCAUGGCCUUUAUGCCCAGGGCUGCACACGUGCUACAAUGGCAAGUACAAAGCGAAGCGAUAUCGUAAGGUGGAGCAAAUCGCUCAAAACCUGCCCCAGUUCGGAUUGGAGGCUGCAACCCGCCUCCAUGAAGUUGGAAUCGCUAGUAAUCGGAGAUCAGCUACGCUCCGGUGAAUACGUUCCUGAGCCUUGUACACACCGCCCGUCAAGUCAUGGAAGCUGGCAGCGCCCGAAGUCGCCACGAUUCAGUGGUGCCCACGGUGAGGCUGGUGACUGGGACUAAGUCGUAACAAGGUA